rnacentral:lncRNA from 1 species
UGCCACCGAACUAAAGUAGCAAAAGGAAGAUCUAUAUAUGAAAUUACAAUAAAGGUUGAGGCAAGUAACUUGACAGUAACUUUAAUAUAGCUUUUAUGACUAAAUUGGUAGUGAAGAAAGAGUGACACAUGCAUUAGUACGAUUGCAGCCUUGUUUCUUAUCCAGGGUCAAACUUUUUCAAGGGAAAAAAGGUCAUUGAGUACAACCCAACACAAGGUCUUAUAUAGAGAGCAUGGACUUUAAGUUCCCUGUGGUUACUCAGCUGGGCAGAGGUGGAAGGUAUUUCCGAAAUCUUUCAGCUUUACGAUACAGAAAGAAAAUCCGCAAUGCUUUGAAGAAGCUUCCUUUCAUGAGGAUUUUGAAAUUUCUGAGCCACAGAUAUAUCCAAACAUUCUAACAGGAAAAUUUUAGAGUAAAAUUUAAACUUUUGAUCAAUGGAAA